rnacentral:tRNA from 1 species
AGUAGCUGUUAUUUGAUAUUAGGUGGGUAAUAUCGCUGGUUGUGGGGGUUAUGAUUUGAGUGGCAGAAUCAGGGUGGUGGUUGAUAGC